AUACGUAGGGAGCGAGCGUUGUCCGGAAUUACUGGGCGUAAAGGGCGCGUAGGCGGCGCUUCAAGUCGUCUGUCAAAUGGAAGGGCUUAACCCUUUUUCGCAGACGAAACUGGAGAGCUUGAGAAGCAGAGAGGCAAACAGAAUUCCUGGUGUAGCGGUGAAAUGCGUAGAUAUCAGGAAGAAUACCAGUGGCGAAGGCGGUUUGCUGGCUGCAUACUGACGCUGAAGCGCGAAAGCCAGGGGAGCGAACGGGAUUAGAUACCCCGGUAGUCCUGGCAGUAAACGAUGUAUGCUGGGUGUGAGACUAGCGAUAGUUUCGUGCCGAAGCUAACGCGAUAAGCAUACCGCCUGGGGUGUACGGUCGCAAGAUUGAAACUCAAAUGAAUUGACGGGG
rnacentral:rRNA from 1 species